rnacentral:rRNA from 1 species
CCUACGGGGGGCAGCAGUGAGGAAUAUUGGUCAAUGGACGAGAGUCUGAACCAGCCAAGUAGCGUGAAGGAUGACUGCCCUAUGGGUUGUAAACUUCUUUUAUAUGGGAAUAAAACGUUCCACGUGUGGGAUUUUGUAUGUACCAUAUGAAUAAGGAUCGGUUAACUCCGUGCCAGCAGCCGCGGUAAUACGGAGGAUCCGAGCGUUAUCCGGAUUUAUUGGGUUUAAAGGGAGCGUAGGUGGAUUGUUAAGUCAGUUGUGAAAGUUUGCGGCUCAACCGUAAAAUUGCAGUUGAAACUGGCAGUCUUGAGUACAGUAGAGGUGGGCGGAAUUCGUGGUGUAGCGGUGAAAUGCUUAGAUAUCACAAAGAACUCCGAUUGCGAAGGCAGUUCACUGGACUGCAACUGACACUGAGGCUCGAAAGUGUGGGUAUCAAACAGGAUUAGAUACCCCGGUAGUC